GAUUUUUCCAAUCAGUUGACAGUGAAACCCAGACUCCAGGUUGUCACCUAUACUUCAAGUCGUCGGGGUUGUGAACAGAUAUUUGUUCUCUGUGGUGGUAUGAAUUUGCCACCCACCCGGAAAAUCACCUAAACUUACCAGCACGACUUAACCUCCAUCAUGUUUACUCUAGCACAGAUUUUGCACUAUAUAUACCUGACUGCUUUAGUGUUUCCUUCACUCACUGCCCUACAGCUCAAGCUAGUUAGUUUACCUCUUUGGCAGAAUGUUUCCUGUCUCUUGGCACCCCUACCUCCCUGUUCUCUUCUUCCUCUGUCUUGCCGACCACCUCCACACCUCUGGUGUUAUCGCUGGUACAAAUGAGCUGGUCUAUAAUGGCUUUUCAGCUGAUCUGAAGCUUGACGGCAAAGCUUUGUGGAUAGAUGACCUGUUGAGUGUAACCAAUGGCCCAGGUGGUACAAGCGGCCAUGCUUUCUGCAGAUAUCCCCUAAGCUUUCAAGAUAAUCCCGGUGGUGCUAUCUCCUCCUUCUCAACUACGUUUGUGUUCGUCAUGGGCUUCAAGCAGUAUAAAGGUAAUGGGAUGGCCUUCAUACUUUCAUCCACCAGUGACUUACCAGAUGAUUCGCCAGGCGAGUACCUUGGCCUCCCGCAUUCUAACUUAGAUGGCCAUGCUUUCUUCGCCGUCGAGUUCGACACCGUCUUGAAUCCUGAGAUCGGGGACAUCGAUGACAACCAUGUUGGGAUUGAUGUCAACAGCUUGGCCUCAGUUGAAUCCCAAACUGCUGGCUUCUAUAACUUCUACGCUGAGAAAGGCAAAGGAAGAUGAUGAGUGGGAGAUCAAGUCUGGGAUGAUGUCUUUCACGUACAAGGAACUAGUGACCGCCACCGAAGGCUUCAGCAAUUGCACCCUCCUCGGGAAAGGGGGCUUUGGAAGGGUGUACAAAGGGGUGCUCCCUACCACCACACAGCAUGUGGCCAUCAAGCGGGUGUCGCCGGAAUCAAAGCAGGGGAAGAAGGAGUUCAUGGCGGAGAUCGCCAUCCUUGGCCAUGUCCGCCACCGAAACCUUGUCCAACUGCUAGGCUAUUGCCGGUACAAGCAGGAGCUGCUCUUGGUCUAUGACUACAUGCCCAAUGGCAGCCUUGAUAGGUACUUGUAUGACAAGACUACGCCGACCCUGGAUUGGGCUCAGAGGCUUCGCAUCAUCAAAGGCGUAGCUUCCGGCCUCUACUACCUGCACGAGGAUUGGGAGCAAGUCAUCAUCCAUCGGGACAUCAAGGCGAGCAACGUUCUCCUCGACGACGACAUGAAUGGGAGGCUUGGUGACUUUGGCCUCGCAAGGUUGCAUGACCAUGGAGUCGAUGCCCACACCACACAUGUAGCAGGCACCUGGGGAUACAUUGCCCCUGAGCUGGCCCGGCUUGGCAAGGCGACCAAGGCGACCGACGUUUUUCAUUUGGAGUGUUUACCAUAGAGGUGGUGUGCGGGAGAAAACCAAUCGGCCCGGCCAACACCAGUGGCGGCCUUCUUGCGCUGGCGGAUUGGGUACGUGGCACAUGGCAGGGUGGCUCGAUCGUCGACGCCGUGGACCCUGAGCUGAAAGAUUACGACAUGGUGGAGGUUGAGCUUGUGCUGAAGCUUGGAUUGCUGUGCUCCCAUUCGCUGUCCAAGUCGCGGCCAUGUAUGCGUCUAGUCAUGCUGUACUUGGAAGGAGGUGCAAGACUUCCAGACUUCCAGCCGGCUUCUCUGGUCACUGAUGGACAUGAGGAUGAAGAGAUUGAUCAGGCUUUGUGUACAUCUGCAGCUACGACUGUGACCAUUCUGUCUGGAAGGUGA
rnacentral:rRNA from 1 species